rnacentral:hammerhead_ribozyme from 1 species
AUCCUGCUGACGAGUCCUGAAUAAGACGAAACGCACGUCCUGGAU